AAAGAUCUAGAGAAGAUACAGAGGAUACGAAGCCUGGUCCCUACCCACCUCCCCUCACUGCCACCCCAGCUCCUGCCACCUGAGCUCUCAAGGGAGCUCACAUGCCUGGCACUGAACAGGAAACAAUCCAGGACCUUCUACAUUCUGGUUUACAGUGUUCUGUUCAGUGCCUAAAUUAUGAUUUAAACUUAUUCUUCGAAUUGAAGCCAAUGAAGAAUGGCUUCGGUACAAGGAAAAUGGAAGAAUUGGAAUCCCGAGUAUAAAACAAAUUAAUAAAACUGAA